AGAAGAGAAGAAGAAGCAGAGCCGGUCUGGAAGAAGCGCGGAAAAGAAACUGAGAGAACCUGGAGAAGGAGGAGGAGGAGGAGAGGCUGAGAAGACGGCGGGGCAGAGUCGAAGUGAGCAGCAUCGCCUACAAACUAUAGAAAAGAGCGGGAGAGCCAGUUCGCCGGCUGGUUGAGACCUGUUGCAGGCUCGGAAAGCAAAGCUGUCUGCCGGUGCUGAAGACAGAGCUGGUGGCCCAAUGAACUGUAUUAAAAAACACAGCAAAUCCAAAAAACACAAAGAGAAAGAAUCCUGUGAACGUGUGUUUUCCAAGGUAAAUCUAAUGAAAACAAAACCACCAAACCGACUUAUCACAGGCGCCCUUAAUGGGCUCAUGCACACAUCAGAGAGUGUGAAGAUGGCAGGUGGAUGUGCCGGUUUGAAGCCAACAACCACAAUGCUGCGGUCCAUGACAACAUGAGAUGUAAACAGUAAGAGGACUGCCCCCACCCAGCAGGGUGCAGCAGACUCAGACAGGGACUCACAGCUGGAGACUGAACCUGAAGAAAACUGCCAAAGGCGGAGACGUGACGUGACGCAGCCCGGACAGCUGAUGGAGACCGAGGCGAUCAGGGCUACACACCACUUAGUGUUUGUCCACAUUAGAUGUUGGACUUUUGCUUCACUCGGAACAAACACCUGUAGCCCUUGGCCUGUUGUCUGCUGUGCUUCCCUCUUUUCCAGGUUAUUAUACAGCAGGUUCUAUAUGCACUUUAUUUGAAGUUAUAUGCUGUUAAGUGCUGUUUUUGUUGAUUUUCUGAGUUGUUGUCAUUUUUGAGGACAGAGACAUGUUGUUGCUCUGAAAAUAAAAUGUAACAUGUGAAGCCAGAUCUUUAUUUUCUUGUCAGUUAUCAUGAAUACUGUUUCUCUUUGUCUCUCUGCCUGUUAGACGCUGUUCAACACUAGAGUGACUGUAGCGCAUCAAUACACUUGUUAUUUUGGUUAUGACGGCUGUCCGAUCAUUUCCCUCCAAAUACGAUCAUUUGAUGUCUGUGGUACGAUAAUCCUACAUUUCCCAGCUGGCAACGCGGGUUCAGUGAGUUGUUGAGUUGGAGCCACUUUAUAAACUGUGUGAAACUC